UCCCCGUUAUCCGGGGCGGUUUCGCUAGAGUGCCCGACUUGACUCGCUGGCAACUAACGAUAAGGGUUGCGCUCGUUGCGGGACUUAACCCAACAUCUCACGACACGAGCUGACGACAGCCAUGCAGCACCUGUGUACUGGUUCUCUUUCGAGCACUCCCGCAUCUCUGCAGGAUUCCGACCAUGUCAAGGGUAGGUAAGGUUUUUCGCGUUGCAUCGAAUUAAUCCACAUAAUCCACCGCUUGUGCGGGUCCCCGUCAAUUCCUUUGAGUUUUAACCUUGCGGCCGUACUCCCCAGGCGGUCGACUUCACGCGUUAGCUUCGUUACUGAGAGUGUCAAACCCCCAACAACCAGUCGACAUCGUUUAGGGCGUGGACUAC
rnacentral:misc_RNA from 1 species